UUCUUCUAUCUUCUCUGCUUCCAUACCUCUCUUCCUGCCAGUAUUUCACCUGUAUUGAUGUCACAGCAGGCCUGCAUUUGUAGACUCUACUGCGCUUGACAACUUGGUCCUUCAGGCUACUGUGGGCCUGGCUACUUUCAUGCCCCAACUGUCUGCACUGGUCUAGGUUUCUGGAUACUUUGAGAUUUACCACCAAAGAUUUCUUCUCUCCAUAAACUCCAGGGUGGAACUGUUUGGCCAUUCCACCCUCCAGACUUCAAAUGCCAGACCUCCAAGCCUGCAUGACAUGAUAGGAAAUCUCAGUUCACAUAUCACUUUCCCCGACCAUAGGGGCCCUCCAGAUGUGUUGGGACUACAAUUCCCAGGCUUCCUAUGACAUCCUUGCGUCAAGCUGGCUAUGGAUCCUGACAGCUAUGGUCCAAAUAUCUCUGGGAAGGCUGAUCUAAGCCAUACUUUGGAUUGUGUGGGUUUGGCUUAGAGUGUGAUAUGGAACCCACUUCUUACAGAUUAUAAACCAUGUUCUGUAUAUUGUGUGAUGCCAGCCACUGCAGCUUAUUCAUCAAGCUACAAUUAAACCAUGGCUUCAGAACCAUC